rnacentral:snRNA from 1 species
GGACGUGAAGGUGAUCUGGCUGUGACAUCUGUCACCCCAUUGAUUGCCAGGGUUGAUUCGGCUGAUCUGGCUGGCUAGGCGUGUGUCCCUUUCCUCCCUCACCGCUCCAUGUGCGUCCCUCCUGAAGCUGCGCGCUCGGUCAGGCAGGACACUGUUCCCCGAUAGAGGAGGACCCUCCUUUGAUCAAGGGUAUAUGAGUAGCUGUGCUCCCCUGCUAGAGCCUCCAAACAAGCUCUCAAGUUUUAAACAAGAAAGAUUAAAAAUAAGUGAAUAUUUGGCUUAAGAAACAAAAAAAAAGGAUAUUUUAUUAGUU